rnacentral:rRNA from 1 species
GACGAACGCUGGCGGCGUGCUUAACACAUGCAAGUCGAACGGAAAGGCCCUGCUUUUGUUGGGUGCUCGAGUGGCGAACGGGUGAGUAACACGUGAGUAACCUGCCCUUGACUUUGGGAUAACUUCAGGAAACUGGGGCUCAUACCGGAUAGGAGCUCCUGCUGCAUGGUGUGGGUUGGAAAGUUUCGGCGGUUGGGGAUGGACUCGCGGCUUAUCCGCUUGUUUGUGUGGUAGUGGCUUACCAAGGAUUUGACGGAUAGCCGGCCUGAGAGGGUGACCGGCCUCAUUGGGACUGAGAGAGGGCCCAGACGCGUACGGGAGGCAGCGGGGGGGAGUAUUGCAGAAUGGGGGGAAGCGUGAUGCAGCAACGCCGCGUGCGGGAUGACGGCUUUCGGGUGGUAAACCGCUUUCGACUGUGACGAAGAGUGAGUGACGGUAAUGGGUAAAGAAGCAACGGCUAACUACGUG